UAAUCUUUCGUUGCUUUAUUCUCUCUCUUUUCUUUCUUCUUUACACUUAACCACACCAAACCCAUCUUAUCAUCAUCCAAACUCAAAUUCAACAACAAUUUCAAAGUUCAACACAACUAAACAAAAUCCUUAUUAGCUUUCAAAGUUCAAAACAACUCAAAUUCAUCAUCCACCUUAUCAGCUUUCUCAACCAACUAAACAAAAUCCUUCAUCCCCACACAGUUCAACAUAGCCGCAACAGCUCCAGACUCCGUUUGAUCUCCGGCGAAGACUUUUUGGAACAAUACAAAGAUGCUCGAUUGAGACCAGUUUGACCUCCGGCGAAGACUUUUAUGGAUCUCAAAAUCCAGCUUUGAAACAACACAAAGCUGCUCGAUUGAGACCAGUUUGAUCUCCGGCGAAGACUUUUUGGAAGCCAGCAGAUCCGUCAAGAAUUUUCAUGAAAACUAGCUGAACCGGACCAUGAACACCCUUAGCCCGGAAAAAAAAGCAGUAAGUGAUGCUCACCAAGCGCCUUCAAAAUCGAAGGAGGAAGGUCGUCGGAUGAGAACGAAUCCAAGAACGUCAGUGUAGAACUUGACGGAUGUACGAACAGAUCUGCAGAUAAAUGAGACGUGAUUGAGAGAUAGAAGAGGCAACUGCUGCGUUGAAGAUGAUUCUUUCGCGAUGAUCUGAUGAUUAACUGCCUGAUUUGCCAUUAAGCAGAAAGCAAAGGUAAAAGGGUAUUGAUAACUGGAGUGCUGAGUGCAUCCAGAUCUGCUGAAAAGAUCACUUACUUAUAGAAGAGAAUGGUGAGCUGUAGAUAUAUGAUAGAGUACACAUCCUACGUGGCAACGCAUCAUCCGUCGUUUCACAAUUUUACAUGCAGUAGAAAUUUAAAUAAUUCCGACCCACGUGUUUUUAAUAUGCACUUUGUCGUUUGAUUGUUUAUAUUGUAUAUCAGUAGCUAUAUUAUUAUGAGUUCUUUUAUACUUUUACAGUUA